AUUGGAGGGCAAGUCUGGUGCCAGCAGCCGCGGUAAUUCCAGCUCCAAUAGCGUAUAUUAAACUUGUUGCAGUUAAAAAGCUCGUAGUUGAAUUUCUGCGUCACCGUAUUUUGACUUUUGUCGACUGUCGGUUUCGCUUUUGGGAUUUAUCCCUUUUUACUUUGAGAAAAUUAGAGUGUUUCAAGCAGACUUUUGUCUUGAAUACUUCAGCAUGGAAUAAUAGAGUAGGACUUUGGUUCUAUUUUGUUGGUUUGUGAACCUUAGUAAUGGUUAAUAGGAACGGUUGGGGGCAUUCGUAUUUAACUGUCAGAGGUGAAAUUCUUAGAUUUGUUAAAGACGAACUACUGCGAAAGCAUUUGCCAAGGACGUUUUCAUUAAUCAAGAACGAAAGUUAGGGGAUCGAAGACGAUCAGAUACCGUCGUAGUCCUAACCAUAAACU
rnacentral:rRNA from 1 species